GACGAACGCUGGCGGCGUGCUUUAUACAUGCAAGUCAAGGAGAACCUAUUCUUCGGAAUAGUAGUAAACUGGCGAACGGGUGAGUAACACGUAGGUAACCUGCCCUAGAGAUUGGGACAACUUCGGGAAACCGGAGCUAAUACCGAAUAAUGCAGCGGACCCCUUGGGGUACAGUUGUUAAAGCGGGCUUCGGCUCGCGCUUUAGGAUGGGCCUGCGUCCGAUUAGCUUGUUGGUGGGGUAAUAGCCUACCAAGGCAAUGAUCGGUAGCUGGUCUGAGAGGAUGAUCAGCCACACUGGGAUUGAGAUACGGCCCAGACCUCUACGGGGGGCAGCAGUAGGGAAUUUUGCGCAAUGGGCGAAAGCCUGACGCAGCAACGCCGCGUGAUCGAUGAAGCUUCUAGGAGCGUAAAGAUCUGUCGUGAGGGAAGAAAAAUUCGGAGGUAAAUAAUUUUCGUUUUUGACGGUACCUCACAAGAAAGCACCGGCUAACUUCGUGCCAGCCGCCGCCGUAACAC
rnacentral:rRNA from 1 species